rnacentral:rRNA from 1 species
ACGCUGGCGGCAGGCCUAACACAUGCAAGUCGAGCGGUAGAGAGAAGCUUGCUUCUCUUGAGAGCGGCGGACGGGUGAGUAAUGCCUAGGAAUCUGCCUGGUAGUGGGGGAUAACGUUCGGAAACGGACGCUAAUACCGCAUACGUCCUACGGGAGAGAGCAGGGGACCUUCGGGCCUUGCGCUAUCAGAUGAGCCUAGGUCGGAUUAGCUAGUUGGUGGGGUAAUGGCUCACCAAGGCGACGAUCCGUAACUGGUCUGAGAGGAUGAUCAGUCACACUGGAACUGAGACACGGUCCAGACUCCUACGGGAGGCAGCAGUGGGGAAUAUUGGACAAUGGGCGAAAGCCUGAUCCAGCCAUGCCGCGUGUGUGAAGAAGGUCUUCGGAUUGUAAAGCACUUUAAGUUGGGAGGAAGGGCAGUUGCCUAAUACGUAACUGUUUUGACGUUACCGACAGAAUAAGCACCGGCUAACUCUGUGCCAGCAGCCGCGGUAAUACAGAGGGUGCAAGCGUUAAUCGGAAUUACUGGGCGUAAAGCGCGCGUAGGUGGUUUGUUAAGUUGGAUGUGAAAUCCCCGGGCUCAACCUGGGAACUGCAUUCAAAACUGACUGACUAGAGUAUGGUAGAGGGUGGUGGAAUUUCCUGUGUAGCGGUGAAAUGCGUAGAUAUAGGAAGGAACACCAGUGGCGAAGGCGACCACCUGGACUGAUACUGACACUGAGGUGCGAAAGCGUGGGGAGCAAACAG